rnacentral:rRNA from 1 species
ACAGGGAUUGCCCUAGUAACGGCGAGUGAAGCGGCAACAGCUCAAAUUUGAAAUCUGGCGUCUUUGGCGUCCGAGUUGUAAUUUGCAGAGGGUGCUUUGGCAUUGGCAGCGGUCCAAGUUCCUUGGAACAGGACGUCACAGAGGGUGAGAAUCCCGUACGUGGUCGCUAGCCUUUACCGUGUAAAGCCCCUUCGACGAGUCGAGUUGUUUGGGAAUGCAGCUCUAAAUGGGAGGUAAAUUUCUUCUAAAGCUAAAUACUGGCCAGAGACCGAUAGCGCACAAGUAGAGUGAUCGAAAGAUGAAAAGCACUUUGGAAAGAGAGUUAAAAAGCACGUGAAAUUGUUGAAAGGGAAGCGCUUGCAGCCAGACUUGCCUGUAGUUGCUCAUCCGGGUUUCUACCCGGUGCACUCUUCUAUAGGCAGGCCAGCAUCAGUUUGGGCGGUUGGAUAAAGGUCUCUGUCAUGUACCUCUCUUCGGGGAGAACUUAUAGGGGAGACGACAUGCAACCAGCCUGGACUGAGGUCCGCGCAUCUGCUAGGAUGCUGGCGUAAUGGCUGUAAGCGGCCCGUCUUGAAACACGGACCAAGGAGUCUAACAUCUAUGCGAGUGUUUGGGUGUCAAGCCCGAGCGCGUAAUGAAAGUGAACGGAGGUGGGAACCUUUCGGGGUGCACCAUCGACCGAUCCUGAUGUCUUCGGAUGGAUUUGAGUAAGAGCAUAGCUGUUGGGACCCGAAAGAUGGUGAACUAUGCUUGAAUAGGGUGAAGCCAGAGGAAACUCUGGUGGAGGCUCGCAGCGGUUCUGACGUGCAAAUCGAUCGUCAAAUUUGGGCAUAGGGGCGAAAGACUAAUCGAACUAUCUAGUAGCUGGUUCCUGCCGAAGUUUCCCUCAGGAUAGCAGUAACGUUUUCAGUUUUAUGAGGUAAAGCGAAUGAUUAGAGGCCUGGGGGUUGAAACAACCUU